UUCCAGCUCCAAUAGCGUAUAUUAAAGUUGUUGCGGUUAAAAAGCUCGUAGUCGGAGGUGUGUCUCGGACGGUCGGUUCGCCGCUUGUCGGUGCUCAACUGGCCGGUCCGGACGUCCUGCCGGUGGGGCUGUAAAAGGCUCCGUUAUCCUUCUUUGGUCCUCUUCAUUGAGUGCCUUGGUGGGCCGGCACGUUUACUUUGAACAAAUUAGAGUGCUCAAAGCAGGCCGUUGGUCGCCUGAAUACUGUGUGCAUGGAAUAAUGGAAUAGGACCUCGGUUCCAUUUUGUUGGUUUUCAGAACUCGAGGUAAUGAUUAAUAGGGACGGACGGGGGCAUUCGUAUUGCGACGUUAGAGGUGAAAUUCUUGGAUCGUCGCAAGACGAACCGAUGCGAAAGCAUUUGCCAAGAACGUUUUCGUUGAUCAAGAACGAAAGUUAGAGGUUCGAAGGCGAUCAGAUACCGCCCUAGUUCUAACCAUAAACGAUGCCAGCUAGCCAUCCGCCGAAGUUCCUUAUAUGACUCGGCGGGCAGCUUCCGGGAAACCAAAGCUCUUGGGUUCCGGGGGAAGUAUGGUUGCAMAGCUCA
rnacentral:rRNA from 1 species